UACGUAGGGGGCAAGCGUUGUCCGGAAUCAUUGGGCGUAAAGCGCGUGUAGGCGGCUCGGUAAGUCCGCUGUGAAAGUCGGGGGCUCAACCCUCGGAUGCCGGUGGAUACUGUCGGGCUUGAGUACGGAAGAGGCGAGUGGAAUUCCUGGUGUAGCGGUGAAAUGCGCAGAUAUCAGGAGGAACACCGGUGGCGAAGGCGGGACUCUGGGCCGAUACUGACGCUGAGGAGCGAAAGCGUGGGGAGCAAACAGG
rnacentral:rRNA from 1 species